GACGAACGCUGGCGGCGUGCUUAACACAUGCAAGUCGAACGGAAAGGCCCUGCUUUUGUGGGGUGCUCGAGUGGCGAACGGGUGAGUAACACGUGAGUAACCUGCCCUUGACUUUGGGAUAACUUCAGGAAACUGGGGCUAAUACCGGAUAGGAGCUCCUGCUGCAUGGUGGGGGUUGGAAAGUUUCGGCGGUUGGGGAUGGACUCGCGGCUUAUCAGCUUGUUGGUGGGGUAGUGGCUUACCAAGGCUUUGACGGGUAGCCGGCCUGAGAGGGUGACCGGCCACAUUGGGACUGAGAUACGGCCCAGGCUCAUACGGGAGGCAGCAGUGGGGAAUAUUGCACAAUGGGCGGAAGCCUGAUGCAGCAACGCCGCGUGCGGGAUGACGGCCUUCGGGUUGUAAACCGCUUUAGCCUGUGACGAAGCGUGAGUGACGGUAAUGGGUAAAGAAGCACCGGCUAACUACGG
rnacentral:rRNA from 1 species